AAGUCCUCAGACUCAGCUGUAAUGAGAAUCCGGGUGUGCCAAGAUUUUUUGACAUAACUCUGCCCAGAUAGACAGCGUCUGCUCUGAAGAUGUUGCCUCAGCAUAAAUCUUGUGAACUUCUCUGAAAGAUCCAAUUUCCAGGUCGCUCUCUGUGGUAGUUGACAGACUUGUAAAUCUUACCCAGAAUUGUUCACAUAUAAACUUAAAAAGCAGGAUGUGGCAUGGGCUUCUGAACAAGUGUGUAUUCAGCAGAAUACAGAGAUGUGGGACUUCACACCACCUGAAGUUGAUGUCCUCAUGGUGCAGUUUGAGUCUAAAAAACAGGCUUGGAAAGGAAGAAGCAAGCUGCAGAUGGAUUACACGAAUAACUUGGGACAGAACAGUCUGUGAGUUGUACAAAGUUUUCCAGCUCCUCAUUUUGCCAGGAGCUCCUCAUUUGAUGAUCUGUU